UCCUGGUUAGCUCGGUUAGUAGAGCGCUCUACUGGAAAUGGAGAGGUCCGUGGUUCGAUACCAGGACCAGAUG
rnacentral:tRNA from 2 species